UUCUUUAUGCCUGAAAAAGGAUUAAUCUGAUAGAUUAAAUCAAGUUACAUAAGUUCAAAUAGCUAAUAAAG
rnacentral:tRNA from 1 species